rnacentral:rRNA from 1 species
AGUGAACGCUGGCGGUAGGCCUAACACAUGCAAGUCGAACGGCAGCACAGUAAGAGCUUGCUCUUACGGGUGGCGAGUGGCGGACGGGUGAGGAAUACAUCGGAAUCUACUUUUUCGUGGGGGAUAACGUAGGGAAACUUACGCUAAUACCGCAUACGACCUACGGGUGAAAGCAGUGGAUCUUCGGACCUUGCGCGAUUGAAUGAGCCGAUGUCGGAUUAGCUAGUUGGCGGGGUAAAGGCCCACCAAGGCGACGAUCCGUAGCUGAUCUGAGAGGAUGAUCAGCCACACUGGAACUGAGACACGGUCCAGACUCCUACGGGAGGCAGCAGUGGGGAAUAUUGGACAAUGGGCGCAAGCCUGAUCCAGCCAUACCGCGUGGGUGAAGAAGGCCUUCGGGUUGUAAAGCCCUUUUGUUGGGAAAGAAAAGCAGCAGGUUAAUACCCCGCUGUUCUGACGGUACCCAAAGAAUAAGCACCGGCUAACUUCGUG